rnacentral:rRNA from 1 species
UACGAAGGGGGCUAGCGUUGCUCGGAAUGACUGGGCGUAAAGGGCGCGUAGGCGGAUGGCACAGUCAGAUGUGAAAUUCCCGGGCUUAACCUGGGGGCUGCAUUUGAUACGUGUUGUCUAGAGUGAGGAAGAGGGUUGUGGAAUUCCCAGUGUAGAGGUGAAAUUCGUAGAUAUUGGGAAGAACACCGGUGGCGAAGGCGGCAACUGUCC